rnacentral:rRNA from 1 species
UACAGAGGUGGCAAGCGUUGUUCGGAAUUACUGGGCGUAAAGGGCGCGUAGGCGGCCCGUCAAGUCCCGUGUGAAAGCCCCCGGCUCAACCGGGGAACUGCACGGGAAACUAGCAGGCUUGAGUUCGGGAGAGGGAAGCGGAAUUUCGGGUGUAGCGGUGAAAUGCGCAGAUAUCCGAAGGAACACCGGUGGCGAAGGCGGCUUCCUGGACCGACACUGACGCUGAGGCGCGAAAGCUAGGGGAGCAAACAGG